CUGUCGCCGAAAGUCCAAGGGUUCCUGCUUAAAGCUAAUCUGAGCAGGGUAAGCCGGCCCCUAAGGCGAGGCCGAAAGGCGUAGUCGAUGGGAACCAGGUUAAUAUUCCUGGGCCAGGAGGAUGUGACGGAUCUCGACGGUAGUUUGCCCUUAUCGGAUUGGGUGAGCUGCUUAGAGGUUCCUGGAAAUAUCCCUCCACAAGACCGUACCCCAAACCGACACAGGUGGACUGGUAGAGAAUACCAAGGCGCUUGAGAGAACCACAUCAAAGGAACUCGGCAAAAUGCUCCCGUAAGUUCGCGAGAAGGGAGCCCCGUCUGUAGGCAACUAUGGGCGGGGGGCACAAACCAGGGGGUGGCGACUGUUUACUUAAAACACAGGGCUGUGCGAAGCCGUAAGGCGACGUAUACAGUCUGACGCCUGCCCGGUGCUGGAAGGUUAAAAGGAGGGGUGCAAGCUCUGAAUUGAAGCCCCAGUAAACGGCGGCCGUAACAAUAACGGUCCUAAGGUAGCGAAAUUCCUUGUCGGGUAAGUUCCGACCUGCACGAAUGGCGUAACGAUCUCCCCGCUGUCUCUGAUGUGGACUCAGCGAAAUUGAACUGUGUGUCAAGAUGCACACUUCCCGCGGUUAGACGGAAAGACCCCAUGAACCUUUACUCCAGCUUUGCACUGGCAUCAGGAUUGUGAUGUGCAGGAUAGGUGGUAGGCAUCGAAGCAGAGACGCCAGUUUCUGUGGAGCCUCCCUUGAGAUACCACCCUUCGCACUCUUGAUGUCUAACCGCGGCCCGUUAUCCGGGUCCGGGACCAUGCAUGGUGGGGAGUUUGACUGGGGCGGUCGCCUCCCAAACAGUAACGGAGGUGCGCGAAGGUUGGCUCAGAGCGGUCGGAAAUCGCUCGUUGAGUGCAAUGGCAGAAGCCAGCCUGACUGCAAGACUGACAAGUCGAGCAGAGACGAAAGUCGGCCAUAGUGAUCCGGUGGUCCCAAGUGGGAGGGCCAUCGCUCAACGGAUAAAAGGUACUCUGGGGAUAACAGGCUGAUGAUGCCCAAGAGUCCAUAUCGACGGCAUCGUUUGGCACCUCGAUGUCGGCUCAUCUCAUCCUGGGGCUGGAGCAGGUCCCAAGGGUAUGGCUGUUCGCCAUUUAAAGAGGUACGUGAGCUGGGUUUAGAACGUCGUGAGACAGUUCGGUCCCUAUCUGCCGUGGGUGUAGGAGACUUGAGAAGAGUUGCCCCUAGUACGAGAGGACCGGGGUGAACGUUCCACUGGUGGACCAGUUGUCGUGCCAACGGCAGUGCUGGGUAGCUAUGAACGGACAGGAUAACCGCUGAAGGCAUCUAAGCGGGAAGCCCCCUUCAAAACAAGGUCUCCCUUGAGAGCCGUGGAAGACCACCACGUCGAUAGGCCAGAGGUGUAAGUGCAGCAAUGCAUUCAGCUGACUGGUACUAAUUGCUCC
rnacentral:rRNA from 1 species